CAAUGACUGAAAACUUUUUCCAAGUUAAAACAUAUAGGUAAAGCAGUGGCCAGGAAAGCAGUGUAGCAUAGAAAACUUGGCUUAAAAACUCAAUAAAAUAUCAAUUUAUGAUGGUUUAAGUUUCAAGUGACGCUUCUGCCUGGUACACAAAAACGCCAUUAAAUGUGUCAUUUAAUAAUUGAUGUAUUUUACCAUCUUAAAGUGUAAACGUUAAGUAUGGAUGCAUGAAGGUAAGAAGGAUUAUGUUCCUGUAAGCCAUUCAAUUUAAGACAGUGAGAUGGUGGCUAUACAUUGUUUUUUUAUUUUUAUAUAUUUUUUAAAGGGAGUUAAAAAGGCAUGUAUUUUGAGUUACAGUGAGAUCAUAAUGUACUCAUAAUAAAGAGGACUCCACACUGGACUUGAACAUAAACAAAAGCACAUUCCUGCUUCUGCCGGAUUGCAGCAGCCACGUCUUGGUCCGGUUUGGCCGCAACCUCUGGACAGUCUCUGUGGCGCUGGGUGGCAGGACCUCCACGGUGCUGGGCAGCGGUGAGACAUAACGUCGACAGGAGCCACACUUCCCUUCUGGGGGUCUUUCCAGAAGGUGGCUUCAGGACAGGAACAGGCUGAGGUGCAGACUGACAGCGAGCAGGCUGGAGUGAAGUCUGGUUGCUAGCAGGCCGGGAACCCAGCUGAUGGCUGUGAGGGCAGACUGGAAUAUGGAGUUAUGUGUGUGUGUGUUGGGGGGCAUUCCAUCCAUUCUUGCUCUUCCUGAGGAAAGAGGGAAAGUAUCACACACACACACAACUGCUGACAGCAGGUGGAGGGAGAGGUGCGCAUUCACCCCUCUAAGGCCAUUCACACAUCUGCCUCUUCUUUCAUCUCUCCGCCCAUUUGACAGACAUGUUUCUGCUGCUCUCAGGCUACAUUACUGAACUCUACAUUACUACAAAAAGUUUACUACGGAUUUCUUGUAACUUCAGCUACGUGCUCUAAAGGCUGUCUGUUUAGAGGGGCCCCCACUGUGCAGUACUGAGAUGACAACACCUAAAAGUCACGUUUGCAUUAGCUGCUUCAUUCAUGCUUCACCAUCAGUGGCUUGGCUACCAGCUGAAUUGUGACAUCCAAUUAUAAUGUGACACUGAAAUUGCAGUAUCUGCAAAGCAUCUGUAAAUGCCUCCGUGGAAAAAAAAAAAGGAUGUUGGUCUGAGUAGAAUUUGUGCUCAUAGUUUAAGCUUGUAUGAUAAUUCAGGCCACAGGAGUCUGCUUUCAUGAAACUCAAGGGAAAAAAACAUUAGCACAUUAGCUAUUGAAUUGGACGUGGUUGGCUAUGUUGGAAAAUAAAAUUGCUUCUCUUGCUUUUCUCUUUCUCUCUCUAGCUGCGAAUGCAUGAACACACAAACACACACACAGGCAAAGAGGAUGCCAACCAGAACAGUGGCUUGUCAAAGCUCCACGGGGGCAGCUACGCCAGCGCUGACGCACUGCUCCUCUCCUGCCAGCUAAUGGGGUUUGUUCCCGUUUUCUGUGCUGUGAUGUACAGCUUCAGGAAGUCCUUGUAGCGAGGUGCGCAGCCAAGCCAGGCUUCGCCAAAAUGGACAGAGCCAGUCAAAAGGUACUCAUCCCCUCCAGGGUGCACACUGC